AAUAAUAGCCAGUCAUAAAGAAGAAAGAAAGAAAGAAAGAAAGAAAGAAAGAAAGAAAGAAAGAAAGAAAGAAAGAAAACAUUUUCUAUGAAGCUGGGCAUGGUGGCAUCAUGUUGGAACACGGUCCAAGAAUGGAGCUGUGCUGUGCAAGGAGACUUCUGAGUGCUUGUGAGAAAACUCCAAGAAACCAAGGCCAAUCUUCACUUCUCACAUAAGUGUUAAAACAGCAGUAACUGGAAAGAAAGAGAGAAAUGGCCUAUGGGCCAAAGUGCUUCCUAAGCCACUGGCAUGAGAAGGCAUUUGUUUGGAAGAUGAAUAGCUGACCUUCCACUUGCUUGGUGUGUCCUGAGCUGCCUGACCCUCCAGCUGAUAGAACUUUAUGUUCCCACCCAGUUCAUCAAGUGGAAAAAUUUGGGGAACUCAUGACUAUUCCAGGACUAUUGGCUGCCAGCAGUCCGAGGCGUGCUGAGAACCCGGAACCUGGAAUAUGGCAGCCUUGCUUCUCCAGAAUCACUGGGUCCCUCCAUCUAAUAAUGGCAGGAUUGAGUCAUGAAGUUCUGGUCAGUCAUCGGGAUGCAGGAUUGGCAUAGAAUGUCUCAGAAACGUCAGUUUACACAGGCCUAGCUGCGACUGGUGGGCAGCAGUAGUGCUCCCACCUACAUCACAAAGAAUUGGGUCUUCUCAAAGAAGAGGAAUCCUGUCUCCAGAAGGAAAAGGGAAGUCAAACAGGCCAAAUCCCUGUCUAAUCCCUUGUGCAUGCAGGAGAGAACAGCAGAUGCUAAAUAAGCGUGAGUCCCACCUGACAGCCGCUGUCUUCUCAUUUCUCUUUGUUUCAUGCAGGUUAACUAAGCUACCCCCAUCCAGGCACUGUUCUGGGUCCUGGAACUGAAGCUCUUGUUUUUAAUGCCUAGGCCCUGCUCAUGAGGAGCAGUAUAUCUUGCAGGGAAGGAGGAAAAUCUAAGAAAUUGAAAGGUGGAGCUGGAGAGCUGGCUCAGUGGUUAAGAGCACUUGCUGCACAAGUGUGAUGACUGGAUUCCAGGACUUCAGCACCCGGGUGAAAAGCAAGUAAUGACCACCUAAGAGAAACUGACUCAGAGAGAUUGGGGUAUGGCCAGGAUAAACAAACCUUAGGAGCUAUGGAGAUGGCGCUGCAGGUAAAGGGGCCUGGCGACCUGAAGCUCUGCAAGUGUGAGCAAAGGAACUAUUUCCUCCCUUCAGUUGUUCCCAGCUUUGCAAAGGUAAGUAAUAUAUUAUCUUAUCCAGGGUUCUUUAAUUCAGGGAGCAAAGGGGCCAGGAAAUGGCUCAAUGGCUGCUCAGUGGUCUUAUUUCUAUCCAGAUAACCCAGGUAAAAAGCUGGGUGCAAUGGUCAGCACCUAUAAGCCUUACAUUCCUGUGGUGAGAUCAAGGUAGAGCUAGGAGAAUCCACUAGAAGCUCUCAGGCCAGCUAGCUUAUAGUAUAUAGGGUUAGAGGCCACUCAGGAAAGUCAUCUUCUGACCAGCACAAAUGUGCUGUGGAGUGUGCACCUACACACACACAUGCACACGCGCGCGCGCGCACGCACAUACACACACA